rnacentral:misc_RNA from 1 species
UCUCCGUAGGUGAACCUGCGGAGGGAUCAUUACAGAGUUCAUGCCCUACCGGGUAGAUCUCCCACCCUAUGUUAUUAUUACUUUGUUGCUUUGGCGGGCCGUUAGGCUCCGGCCCGACUACCGGCCCCGGCUGGUAAGCGCCCGCCAGAGGACCCAAAACCCUGAAUAUUACUGUCGUCUGAGUACUAUAUAAUAGUUAAAACUUUCAACAACGGAUCUCUUGGUUCUG